CGCGUAGGCGGCCCGGUAAGUCCGCUCUGAAAGUCAGGGGCUCAACCCCUGAAUGCGGGUGGAUACUGCCGGGCUAGAGUCCGGAAGAGGCGAGUGGAAUUCCUGGUGUAGCGGUGAAAUGCGCAGAUAUCAGGAGGAACACCAAUGGCGAAGGCAGCUCGCUGGGACGGUACUGACGCUGAGGCGCGAAAGCGUGGGGAGCAAACA
rnacentral:rRNA from 1 species